CUAGUGCAGGGCUGUCCAACCUGCGGCCCCCCAGAUGUUGCUGAACUACAACUCCCAUGAUUCCCUGGCUAUCUUUUUAAUUGAAAGAAUCAUGGGAGUUGUAGUUCAGCAACAUCUGGGGGGGCCGCAGGUUGGACAGCCCUGAUCUAG
rnacentral:miRNA from 1 species